UGGGGAAUAUUGGACAAUGGGGGCAACCCUGAUCCAGCAAUGCCGCGUGUGUGAAGAAGGUCUUCGGAUUGUAAAGCACUUUCGACGGGGACGAUGAUGACGGUACCCGUAGAAGAAGCCCCGGCUAACUUCGUGCCAGCAGCCGCGGUAAUACGAAGGGGGCUAGCGUUGCUCGGAAUGACUGGGCGUAAAGGGCGUGUAGGCGGUUUACACAGUCAGAUGUGAAAUCCCCGGGCUUAACCUGGGAGCUGCAUUUGAUACGUGUAGACUAGAGUGUGAGAGAGGGUUGUGGAAUUCCCAGUGUAGAGGUG
rnacentral:rRNA from 1 species